CAACAAGCACACGCAGGGCCUCUUCCGGCGGAAGGUGUCCAUCGCCAACAUGCUGGCCUGGAGCAGCGAGUCCAUCAAGAAGCCCAUGAUCGUGACAAGCGACCGGCACGUGAAGAAGGAGGCCUGCGAGCUCUUCAAGCUGAUCCAGAUGUACAUGGGUGACCGGCGGGCCAAGGCCGACCCACUGCACGUGGCCCUGGAGGUGGCCACCAAGGGCUGGAGCGUGCAGGGCCUGCGGGACGAGCUCUACAUCCAGCUGUGCCGGCAGACCACCGAGAACUUCCGCCUGGAGAGCCUGGCCCGCGGCUGGGAGCUCAUGGCCAUCUGCCUGGCCUUUUUCCCGCCCACCCCCAAGUUCCACUCCUACCUGGAAGGCUACAUCUACCGGCACAUGGACCCCGUCAAUGACACUAAAGAGGGGCCUGGGAAUGUCGUGCCUGAGCUGGAGGCUAUGGAGCUGAGCCCCCACUGCUCAGCACAGCAUGCAGCCCACAGUGGGUACCCCCGAGAGUAGUGACACAGCACAUAAAAGAGCUCCUGGAAAGAAACACUAAGAAGAAGUCCAAAUUG
rnacentral:lncRNA from 1 species